UACGGAGGGGGCUAGCGUUGUUCGGAAUUACUGGGCGUAAAGCGCACGUAGGCGGCUUUGCAAGUUAGGGGUGAAAGCCCGGGGCUCAACUCCGGAAUUGCCUUUAAAACUGCAUCGCUAGAGUUGUGGAGAGGUAAGUGGAAUUCCGAGUGUAGAGGUGAAAUUCGUAGAUAUUCGGAAGAACACCAGUGGCGAAGGCGACUUACUGGACACAUACUGACGCUGAGGUGCGAAAGCGUGGGGAGCAAACAGG
rnacentral:rRNA from 1 species